rnacentral:lncRNA from 1 species
GCAGGGUCGGGCAAAAAGAACCAUAUGUUUCUUCUUGCAGACAGUCUAUAAACGGAUGUGCAAGUAGGAGAGAUAUCACUAAAUUCUUUUCCUAGCAAGGAAUAUUAAUACCCUGGGAAAGGAAUGCACUCCUGGGGGGAGGUCUAUAAAUGGCCGCUUUGGGAAUGUCUGUCUUAUGCGGUUGAGAUAAGGACUGAGAUAGGCCCUGGUCUCAUGCAGUACCCAAAGGCUUACUAGGGUGGAGAAAAACUCCGCCCUGGUAAAUCUGUGGUCAGACUGGUUCUCUUGUUUUCUGUUGUUUAAGAUGUUUAUCAAGACAAUACAUGCGCCAAUGAACAUAGACCCUUAUCAGUGGUUCUGCUUUUGACCUUUGCUUUGUGAUCAUUGCUGGACCCUUAUCAGUAGUUCUGCUUUUACCCUUUGCCCUGUUCCCUCAGAAGCAUGUGAUCUUUGUUAGACCCUUAGUAGUAAUUCUGCUCUUUGCCCUUUGAAGCAUGUGAUCUUUGUACCUACUUCCUGUUCUUACACCCCCUCCCCUUUUGAAACCCUUAAUUAAGAACUUGCUGGUCUGAGACUCAGGGGGCAUCAUGGCCCUACUGAUAGGUAAUGUCACCUCCAGUGGCCCAGCUGUGAAAUUCCUCUCUUUGUAGUGUCUCUCUUUAUUUCUCAGCUGGCUGACACUUAUGGAAAACAGAAAGAACCUAUGUUGAAAUAUUGGGGGCAGGUUCCACCAAUACUUCUUUCAUGGAUUUACUUAAUUUUUGUUUAUCUCCCUCUGUAUCCUAGAAACUCCUGGAGAGCAGAGCCAUGCCUGCCAUUUCCAUCAUUGCAUUACCACCACCCAGCACAGUGCCUGGCACAAAAGAGUUGCUCAAUAAAUAAAUCAGGAUGAAUGGAUAAAUACACGGACAGGCACUUUGAACUACAGAUGAGCUUAAAUACUUUGUGUUUUUCUUAGUCAAACAUGUGCAAUUAAGCAUGUGAUAAAUUAUAUGAUGACCACACCUGUGUCUUGCCUGAUGAUCUUUGCAAUCACUAAACAAAGUCAAUUUUGCCUGUUUUGACAGUUCUGUUUUCAACCUAAUCUGGUUCUUUUAACUUCUGGCUGUUGGCUUUGUUUGCGUUGUUAGCCUGACAAAGUGGCAGAUAUUGGUAUAAGCUCUUUUGUUUAAAUGCCACGAACUUUAAAAAUGCCUUUGCUUUUGGUAAGAAACCCUAGUUAGGACAGUCUAGUGGUCAGGAUGAUUUGGGUUCUGGUGCAGUAACAACAAUCCCCAAAUCUCAGUGGCUCCAUGCAGUGAGGUAUUUGUUUGCUUGUUUGUUUUUGAGACAGGGUCUCACCCUGUCACCCAGACUAGAGUGCAGUGGUGCAAUUUCAGCUCACUGCAACCUCUGCCUCCUAGACUCAAGUGAUUCUCUGCCUCCUGAGUAGCUGGGAUUACAGGCCCAUGCCACUACUGUCUGGCUAAUUUUUGUGCUUAGUAUUGACAGGAUUUCACCAUGUUAGCCAGGCUGGUCUUGAACUCCUGACCUCAAAUGAUCCACCUGCCUUGGCCUCCCAAAGUGCUGGGAUGACAGGCAUGAGCCACCAUGUCUGGCCACAGUGAGGCUUAUUCUUGGUCAUGUUACAUGUCUGGGCUGUGUUAGGGCAUUGUGGUGUGGUCUGUUCAUUGUGUUCACUCAGGGAUCCAGGUUGACAAAAGUCCCAUCUCUGCAUAUGUCCUUGAUCAUCACUUCAGGGGAAAGGGAAUGUGGUGGAUCACAGAGCCUCUUAGCACUUCCACCUGGAGGUGACUCAAGUUGCUCCUGCUCAUGGUUCAUUGGACAAAACAGAUCACAGAGUCAUGGGCAACUUCUCUGUGCCUGGAAGGGGAACCAAAAUAUGAAUAGCUACAUUGAUUUUCUCUAGCUAGUACACAGAAGGCCUCAUUUAAACACAGUUACUUAUUUGUGUUUUGAAGCUAAUUGUAGUCCAUCAACUUUCACAGAAGAUAUGUGCACUUCCAAGCUAUUUUUAAG